UGGGCAGGCAUACACAUGCAGUCGAGCGGCAGCACAAGGGAGUUUACUCCUGAGGUGGCGAGCGGCGGACGGGUGAGUAAUGCCUAGGGAUCUGCCCAGUCGUGGGGGAUAACAGUUGGAAACGACUGCUAAUACCGCAUACGCCCUACGGGGGAAAGGAGGGGACCUUCGGGCCUUCCGCGAUUGGAUGAACCUAGGUGGGAUUAGCUAGUUGGUGAGGUAAUGGCUCACCAAGGCGACGAUCCCUAGCUGUUCUGAGAGGAUGAUCAGCCACACUGGGACUGAGACACGGCCCAGACUCCUACGGGAGGCAGCAGUGGGGAAUAUUGCACAAUGGGGGAAACCCUGAUGCAGCCAUGCCGCGUGUGUGAAGAAGGCCUUCGGGUUGUAAAGCACUUUCACUACAGAAGAAAGAAGAGGAGCUAAUUCGGCAGCUGACGUACUACAGAGAAGGACCGCUAUCAGUGCCAGCAGCGCGUAUACGAGGGUCAGCGUAAUCGAUACUGGCGUAAGCGUGCGCAGCGUUGUUAGCGAGAUGUGAAGCCCCGGCUCAACCUGGGAAUGCAUUCGAACUGGCAACUAGAGUCUGUAGAGGGGGGUAGAAUUCCAGUGUAGCGGUGAAUGCGUAGAGAUCUGGAGGAAUACCGGUGGCGAAGGCGGCCCCCUGGACAAAGACUGACGCUCAGGCACGAAAGCGUGGGGAGCAAACAGGAUUAGAUACCUGGUAGUCCACGCCGUAACGAUGUCUACUCGGAGUUGGUGUCUUGAACACUGGGCUCUCAAGCUAACGCAUAGUAGACCGCCUGGGGAGUACGGCCGCAAGCUAAAAACUCAAUGAAUGGACGGGGGCCCCCACAACCGGUGGACCAUGUGGUUAAUUCGAUGCACGCGAGACAUUACCUACUCUUGACAUCGAGAUCGCUAGAGAUAGCUGAAAGCCGGCGGGAACUCUGAGACAGGUGCUGCAUGGCUGUCGUCAGCUCGUGUUGUGAAAUGUUGGGUUAAGUCCCGCAACGAGCGCAACCCCUAUCCUUAUUUGCCAGCACGUAAUGGUGGGAACUCUAGGGAGACUGCCGGUGAUAAACCGGAGGAAGGUGGGGACGACGUCAAGUCAUCAUGGCCCUUACGAGUAGGGCUACACACGUGCUACAAUGGCGAGUACAGAGGGUUGCAAAGCCGCGAGGUGGAGCUAAUCUCACAAAGCUCGUCGUAGUCCGGAUUGGAGUCUGCAACUCGACUCCAUGAAGUCGGAAUCGCUAGUAAUCGUGGAUCAGAAUGCCACGGUGAAUACGUUCCCGGGCCUUGUACACACCGCCCGUCACACCAUGGGAGUGGGCUGCAAAAGAAGUGGGUAGCUUAACCUCGGGAGGGCGCUCAUCACUUUUGUA
rnacentral:rRNA from 1 species